CCGGCGACCGGCGGACGGGUGCGUAACGCGUAUGUAACCUACCUUUGACAGGGGGAUAACAUCGAGAAAUUGGUACUAAUACCCCAUAACAUCACCGGAGGCAUCUUCGGUGGUUGAAAACUCAGGUGGUCAGAGAUGGACAUGCGUUGUAUUAGCUAGUUGGUGAGGUAGCGGCUCACCAAGGCGACGAUACAUAGGGGGACUGAGAGGUCAACCCCCCACAUUGGUACUGAGACACGGACCAAACUCCUACGGGAGGCAGCAG
rnacentral:rRNA from 1 species